GGGGAUAUGGCUUAUCUGGUACAGUGCUUGCUUAACAUGCACAAGGCCCUGGGUUCAAUCCCCAGUACCACCA
rnacentral:tRNA from 1 species